rnacentral:lncRNA from 1 species
CAACCGGUAUUUGCUCGCCAGAGAAUCUUCAAGUCGCCCUGAUGCAACAGAUAUUGAGGUUAGAAACUGCUAUUAGCUGAUAUUAUCUCCGGUGAUCACAUUUUCUCAGUUACUAUGUUGUGUUUGUGUUCCUUUUAAUACUUCUUAAGUUUGAUCAAGCACUGUUGGAAAGGCGAUUCAGCUAUUGGAUUGUGUACAAAAACUGUAAAUACCCAAGAGCCAAUUGAUUCCUCAAAACUCUAGGAAUCACUGUGGCAUUGUGCAACCACAUAGACAUUAAGCUGUCAAACAACCGACACUCUGUACAAUCCAGAGAACAAUAAGUCACUGCAUAUUACUAGCUAGCACCAUGGAGAGGAUGUUAACAAAAUUGAUGUCUAGUUAUUUGUAGCUAGACUAGAGAUCAGUUAUCCUUUUAUACGAGCCAGAUAACCUCGUUUAGAAAAUCCAUGUUGAGAUAUCAACACCCAAUGCUAGUUUGUUAUUUUUUUCUUCUUCAUUUUGUAGAGAUUAAUAAGACCAUUGUAAUCUGCAGAUAAUAUUCGGCGGUGGGGGCGCCAGCGAGCAACCUGACGAGGAACCUUCAAUGAUGAACAACGUCAUGGCUGCGUUUAGUUCGGUGAGCCGGUUUAUGAGAGUCAUCUCCAAGUGAAAAAUUCCAGACAGCUUUCCUCACAUUUGAAGCCAUCAUAAGACAAAGGUUUGUCAAGGAUGGUGCUUGGGCAGGGUUACUCACUACUGAUGUUCAGAAAUCAGAAGUUCAAAACAAUGGUUUGCACAUGGUCGUUAGCAAAGGUUAAAACAGUGUCUGUGUACUGUACAGUAUACACACAUCAUAUCGGAUCUGUAUGAUUGUUGACCAUGUAGUUCGUAGUUUUCUUUUUCUUUCGGAACGACCAAAUGUCAUGUACUCCCUCCGUUCCUAAAUAUAAGUCUUUUUAGAGAUUCCACUAGGGGACUACAGACGGAGCAAAAUGAGUGAAUCUAUACUUUAAUGU